UACAUCAUUGGGAAUGGAGGGAAAUAAAUGACUGGAUGGUCGCUGCUUUUUAAGUUUCAAAUUGACAUUCCAGACAAGCGGUGCCUGAGCCCGUGCCUGUCUUCAGAUCUUCACAGCACAGUUCCUGGGAAGGUGGAGCCACCAGCCUCUCCCUGACAAGCAAAGUGGAUCAGCAAAGGCUGCAGUCACCAGCAUCUUUUCCAACCUUAAUGAACUGUAUCCUCAAAAGAACACUAUCAGACUGGUAAGACAAGCAUUAUUGUCCCACUUCACAGAUGAAGAGCUUGGGGGCCCUGUGGAUGUGUAGGAGAGUCGGCCUUCCUUUUUAUAGGCCUUUUGCUGAGCUCAGAGGACAGAGCAGAAGACAAAGCCGAAUGCAGCCCUAAGCAGACACUAUCCCAGCCCAAGGAGCUAUGCAGACAGCUCCUGCCUAGAGGAGAAACAAUUCUCUCCUUCAGCCAGGCAUGUGGCACAGAGGUGAACAGGAAAUGCUUAGGGAGACAGUUCACAGAUAUAUAUGUACUUCACAGGGCACAAUUUAAUCCAUAAAUCAAUCAUGGAUCACCGCUAAAGAAAACAAAAUAUGCUGCCACUAAUUUGCCACCACCCUGUGAGCAUGAUUGGAUGAUGUUUAUUUUGAUUAGGAGAUUGCUCCAUUUAUAAAUCUUCAAUACAUCCUGUCCCCCUAAAACGGCAUCUGGGUCUUUUGAGGGUUAAAAAAAAAAAAAAGUGAAAUUGGAUGAGGGAUGAGAGCUGGACUUCUGUGUGUCCCGGGGUCCCUGGAUCCACAGCCUGGUGCCUAGCAUCAGUUAAGCCCACGCUGGGGUCGCAUCACAUCCCGCAAAGCCACGUGCUCUGUGAGGCCAACAGGAGCCCCGCCGGGUGGACCAGCUGGAAUCUCAGAGAGCGCCGACUCUGAAACUACCCGGCUCUGCAGAAGCACGCUGGGCCCAGGGGCUUCUAGACUGACAGCUCCAUUUAUCAACUACCUAUUGGUUUUAAAAAUUGGAGUGUCUUUUCCGCGUUGACUGAUUUUGGCUCUAAGAGAUGUCGCUGGUCAUUUCAGAGUGACUGAACCUCCCCUCUAACAGAUCCCGGGAAUUGUUUUCAGGAAAGGUAAAAGGCAGCCUUUUCUGUCACAACACAACGCUGAGCCGGCAGCCUGGCUCUGUCAGGAUCUGGGGCUCCCGCGCCCGAGAAGCCCAGCCUCGCCGGCGGCCAAGUUCACCGCGAGGCCCCGCGCUGCCUGCGCUGCGCUCCCGGACCCGCACCGACCGCAGCGCGCGCCGCCGGUGCUUCUCCCACCCCAGCCUGGAAGCUGCCUCCCUCCGCCUAUGCCUGCAGGAUAAGAAGCCCGAGGAGGCGGAGCAUGGAACUCGACAGUUAAAACAUUUAAGAGAGAAAACCUAGUGUCUUGCUGGCCUGAAAUCGAGUACGCAGCCCGGGGUGAUCAGGGUCUCCCGGCCCGGAUGUGUGAGACUUGCUUCCCCUGGGCAAUAGGCGAUACGAUGCUUUAGGAGGAAGGUGUCUCUCCCUCCUAAGCCCCGGAGGGGAGAACUUCCAAAGACAGAAAACCACAGGCUUCCUGGCACAGAGCUUUCCCUUUAUCAGCUAAAGCAGAAUCUUUUCUGGCCUUAACCUGGCCCCUUCCUCUAACUGCAGGCAGAGAGGCAGACAGAAAAGCACUUGCUGAAACACAAAGUUUUGUUCUGUCCUCAACGAACUGUCUAGAGCUGAUUGCUGAUAGUCGUGGUGCAUUAUGCCUUCCUGGUUUUCAUUUAAUUGGGCACCACGCUGCCUUUCAAGACGCCUUAAAGGAACCAACAACCAAAUCCAAGAGAGCUGGACAGACCAUUGAACACACAGUAGGCUGUGUCUCGUGGCUUUCGUUGUCUGGUGCCUCAAAGAAAACACCAGAAAGAUUGUUUCUAAGCUAGAGCCACCCCAGAUUGCUUAAAGUGCAAAGCUCACUGCUGUUGGGGGUACCCUUGUGAGACACUGGAAAGCUGGUUUUACCGUGGCCCUAUGAAGAGGAAGACUGAAAUUUAGACAGUAAUACCUUUACUAGGAUUGGAAAAGAUUUGGUUAAUGACAGCCCUGUCAUUUCUAAAACCCAUUAUCACUGUAUGAGAGAUUCCUUUGCGCUGCAUCCUCGACAGUGCUUCCUAAGGCUCUGCCGACUUCCAGUUCUGGAACAAGAUGGUUAAACUCAUUUUUCCCUGCUCUGCUCCUCUAAAUACAACUAAGUACCUUGGAAACUAUUCAGCAGACAAUGAUAAAGGGCUCUGAAAGCUAGAAGAAAAGGUGUACUUGCAAGAAACCUCAGGACUUGAGUAACAGCAACAUGCUCACCAAGCUCCUGUAUCUACUGGAAAAUGGAAGUCCAGCCUUACCAACUUGUGAACCUUGUCUGAAGGGAGCCAGGGCCUGCCAAUGGAACCACCUCCAGGAGCUGCAACUGCUGUUGUCAUUAAUACCAUUGUGUCUAUUUUUUGAGAGAGAUAAACUUUUCAUGGUGUUACAUUUUGGAAAAAAAAAAAAAAGACUAGGUGAACAGUCAGGUAGGAAAGCAGCAUAACAGUCCCUUAAAUUCUGAUCAUGUAGGACAUUCUUCUUUGCCCUGGGCCUGGGAAAAUGCAGCAUGUUCCAGAGCAAAAGUCCUAAUGAGGGGAACUAAACCAGUGGGACCCAAACCAAUGUCCUGGCUCACUGAGGACCCGUUAGAACCAAAUCUCUGGGUGUGGACAGGCUCCCAUACUUUUCAAAAAUUCCCCUGAUGACUAAUGAACAACCAGAGGUAAGAACCAGUGGCCCAGAGGAAUAACCAGCCCAGCUGUUGUACGAGCUCGCUAAGCUGGCUCAGGUCAAUGUUGAAUUCUCUGCUAGGCAGCUCCUCAUAAGAACUGGCAGAGAUGGUUCUUACACAACAACAGGUGACAACUCCAGACUCUGCCGGAAGUUCCAGGAUCUGGGUUCCCGGACAAUGCAUGACACUCAGUCCAGCAUUGCAGGUGGAAGAGCGACGGUGAAAAGACCAAAGUCAAUUAAAAUGUGUUAACCAAAACAGGAAACAUGAGUGAGGUGAUUGAGAGUGUGUUUAACUUAGAUGUGUGAUUUUAUCAAUACUUUCAUUGUUCAAAAACUCUUAUUUUUUAAAGAUAUUUUCAAAACAAAUCCAAACUUUACUUUUCAUUCCAAA
rnacentral:lncRNA from 1 species